rnacentral:rRNA from 1 species
GAUGAACGCUGGCGGCGUGCCUAAUACAUGCAAGUCGAGCGAACGGACGAGAAGCUUGCUUCUCUGAUGUUAGCGGCGGACGGGUGAGUAACCCGUGGAUAACCUACCUAUAAGACUGGGAUAACUUCGGGAAACCGGAGCUAAUACCGGAUAAUAUUUUGAACCGCAUGGUUCAAAAGUGAAAGACGGUCUUGCUGUCACUUAUAGAUGGAUCCGCGCUGCAUUAGCUAGUUGGUAAGGUAACGGCUUACCAAGGCAACGAUGCAUAGCCGACCUGAGAGGGUGAUCGGCCACACUGGAACUGAGACACGGUCCAGACUCCUACGGGAGGCAGCAGUAGGGAAUCUUCCGCAAUGGGCGAAAGCCUGACGGAGCAACGCCGCGUGAGUGAUGAAGGUCUUCGGAUCGUAAAACUCUGUUAUUAGGGAAGAACAUAUGUGUAAGUACCUGUGCACAUCUUGACGGUACCUAAUCAGAAAGCCACGGCUAACUACGUG